UCCGUAGGGUGGGAGCGUUACUCGGAAUUACUGGGCGUAAAGCGUGCGCAGGCGGCGCGUUAAGACAGGUGUGAAAGCCCCGAGCUUAACUUGGGAAUUGCGCUUGUGACUGGCGUGCUGGAGUGUGGCAGAGGGAGGUGGAAUUCCACGUGUAGCAGUGAAAUGCGUAGAGAUGUGGAGGAACACCGAUGGCGAAGGCAGCCUCCUGGGCCAGCACUGACGCUCAUGCACGAAAGCGUGGGGAGCAAACAGG
rnacentral:rRNA from 1 species